UUGGCGGAGGCAGCUGGAUUCCUGGGUAUUCCCAGGAAUACCCAACUAUUUUUAAAAGUGAAUAAGUAUAUACAUCCAUAAUACAUAUAUACAUACUAUAUUGACUAUACUAUAUACUCCUGAGCUCAAAUUUAGCCCAAAUAAAUGAUCCAACCCACAAACAACCAGCUUCGGCCCACGAAACACGGCCCACAGCAACGACCCACGCCCACCGGCCUGCUCUGACCCGAGUCCCUCUCUCUCCCGUCCGUUGAUUGUUCCCCAUUCCCCAAAAUCUCGUGAUGAAAACCUAGAUCGGCAGGUGGCGGAGGCCGGAACCGGGAGCUGCGUCGUGCGUCCGGCGACCGCGAGCGCCGGCACCGUCGCGGCACGCGGCCAGGCGGCUAGGAGGCACGGGGGCGCUGGGCGGCCGGCCGGCGGCGGCGACGCCGCGCCAUUGCGGCAGGCCGCAGGCCGCAGGCCGCUCGGGCGCUCGCCGCUGGGCGCUGCCGUGCUGCCCGCCUGUGCAGUGCGCACGGCCGCACGGGGUCAGGGGCCAAGGGCCAAGGCCGGCAGGCCCAGGGAGGUAGGCAGGGGAGCGACAGAGGCACAGAGCCAUAUACAGGAGAUCAUAGAGCUUUGCAAAUUGCAAAAUGAAGAAGAAGAAGCCGAUUGAUUUGAGAACUUUGUGGGAAAGAAAGGCAAAGGCACAGAAGGUGGGCUCGACAUCAACACCACAGCCAGUUACGAAUGAGAGUGAAGCUCAUAAUCCAGAUGCUCCUGUUGUUGAGGCAGUCACAAUUGAAAGUCAUGUUCAGAUUCAAAAUCGAAGUACUCCUUCUGUUGAGCCUGACAUAGCAACCAAUGAGAUAGAAAGAGAGGUAACAGAACUAGAUAUUGCUAGCAAUGACCCUACAAUAGCAAGCACAACAAUGACAGAGCACCAUGGAGAACCUUUAUCUUGGUUCCCAAUCAGAGAUGGUGAUAACUCAGAUAAUGAACCAUGGAGCUACUCUUUCAAGCCAUGAAGGAACAGAAACAUAAAGUUAGAGUUAAUUUGUAAUUUUUUUAUGUAUUUUGUAAGAACUUCCCUAAUUCCCUUUGUUUCAUGGACAUGUUAGAGUUGAACAGCUUUGUACCUUUGUUUGAUCGAACACAUAUUAUGCCUUUUACUGUUUAUGUGGACUUUUUUA